rnacentral:rRNA from 1 species
UACAGAGGUCUCGAGCGUUGUUCGGAUUCAUUGGGCGUAAAGGGCGCGUAGGCGGCGGGGUAAGUCUGGUGUGAAAUCUAGGAGCUCAACUCCUAAACUGCACUGGAUACUGCUCUGCUAGAGGACUGGAGAGGAGACUGGAAUUCACGGUGUAGCAGUGAAAUGCGUAGAUAUCGUAAGGAAGACCAGUGGCGAAGGCGGGUCUCUGGACAGUUCCUGACGCUGAGGCACGAAGGCCAGGGGAGCAAACGGG